AGAGUUUGAUCAUGGCUCAGAUUGAACGCUGGCGGCAGGCCUAACACAUGCAAGUCGAGCGGUACCACAGGAGAGCUUGCUCUCUGGGUGACGAGCGGCGGACGGGUGAGUAAUGUCUGGGAAACUGCCUGAUGGAGGGGGAUAACUACUGGAAACGGUAGCUAAUACCGCAUAACCUCGCAAGAGCAAAGAGGGGGACCUUCGGGCCUCUCGCCAUCAGAUGUGCCCAGAUGGGAUUAGCUAGUAGGUGAGGUAAUGGCUCACCUAGGCGACGAUCCCUAGCUGGUCUGAGAGGAUGACCAGCCACACUGGAACUGAGACACGGUCCAGACUCCUACGGGAGGCGGCAGUGGGGAAUAUUGCACAAUGGGCGCAAGCCUGAUGCAGCCAUGCCGCGUGUGUGAAGAAGGCCUUCGGGUUGUAAAGCACUUUCAGCGAGGAGGAAGGCAGUCGUGUUAAUAGCACGGUUGAUUGACGUUACUCGCAGAAGAAGCACCGGCUAACUCCGUGCCAGCAGCCGCGGUAAUACGGAGGGUGCAAGCGUUAAUCGGAAUGACUGGGCGUAAAGCGCACGCAGGCGGUCUGUCAAGUUGGAUGUGAAAUCCCCCGGGCUUAACCUGGGAACUGCAUUCCCAACUGACAGGCUAGAGUCUUGUAGAGGGGGGUAGAAUUCCCGGUGUAGCGGUGAAAUGCCCACAGAUCUGGAGGA
rnacentral:rRNA from 1 species